rnacentral:rRNA from 1 species
UCAGGCCUAACACAUGCAAGUCGAGCGGCAGCACGGGGAGCUUGCUCCCUGGUGGCGACGGCGGACGGGUGAGUAAUGCAUAGGAAUCUGCCCGGUAGUGGGGGAUAACCUGGGGAAACCCAGGCUAAUACCGCAUACGUCCUACGGGAGAAAGCAGGGGACCUUCGGGCCUUGCGCUAUCGGAUGAGCCUAUGUCGGAUUAGCUGGUUGGUGAGGUAAUGGCUCACCAAGGCAACGAUCCGUAGCUGGUCUGAGAGGAUGAUCAGCCACAUCGGGACUGAGACACGGCCCGAACUCCUACGGGAGGCAGCAGUGGGGAAUAUUGGACAAUGGGCGCAAGCCUGAUCCAGCCAUGCCGCGUGUGUGAAGAAGGCCCUCGGGUUGUAAAGCACUUUCAGUGGGGAAGAAAGCCUUCCGGUUAAUACCCNGAGGAGGGACCNCC